UGCCCUGAUGUGGGGGAUAACUAUUGGAAACGAUAGCUAAUACCGCAUAAUGUCUACGGACCAAAGAGGGGGACCUUCGGGCCUCUCGCUUCAGGAUAUGCCCAGGUGGGAUUAGCUAGUUGGUGAGGUAAUGGCUCACCAAGGCGACGAUCCCUAGCUGGUCUGAGAGGAUGAUCAGCCACACUGGAACUGAGACACGGUCCAGACUCCUACGGGAGGCAGCAGUGGGGAAUAUUGCACAAUGGGCGCAAGCCUGAUGCAGCCAUGCCGCGUGUAUGAAGAAGGCCUUCGGGUUGUAAAGUACUUUCAGUCGUGAGGAAGGCAAUAUAGUUAAUAGCUAUAUUGGUUUGACGUUAGCGACAGAAAGAAAGCACCGGCUAACUCCGUGCCAGCAGCCGCGGUUAAUACGGGA
rnacentral:rRNA from 1 species